GGUGGCUCAGCGGUAGAGUGCUUGCCUUGCAUGCAUGAGGCUGUGGGUUCAAUUCCUCAGCACCA
rnacentral:tRNA from 1 species